GGGGGCGGCUCCCAACAGUCACCCAUCCAUUAGUGGCUCAUGUGUUCUUAAGACAAACUCAGCAGGCUGUACCUGUCCAGAGUGAAACCAGAGCUUCUGCCUGCAUGGAACAAGAGCAAGAGAAAGGGAAGCCAUAUGGUGGAGUCUUCUGAGUCAGGGCUAAGAGCCAGCGUGGCUUUGGCCCUGGGGACAGUCCAGCAGCCCUGAUGUGCAAUGUGGGUGGCCUGUUCCGUGAACUUCUGCCUGGCCUUGCCUCUGAGAGCCCAGCUGCACAGCCUAGGCCCCAUCAUGAACAAAGAGUGCAGAGGCCCAACUUCUCUUAUCAUCGUGACACAGAUGCCACCAGGCCAUGUGAGACUGCAACCAGACAGAGCAGCAGAGCCUCGCCGAGGAGACUGACCUGCUUAUCCAUGCUACUUAUCAGGAACUGUGGAACCAUGGAGAACAUGACCCUGGCCCUCCCUUCAGGAUCUGCCUGAGAUCUGGCUGCCUCUUGAGACACUAGAGCCCUGGAUUCAAUUGCGGAACAUUAUGUUGGAGAAUAUAAACACUUCUAGACUGUGCCGGCAUUUGGGAAGGAAUAGUCUGUUUUGACUUGAAUGAACAAAGACAUACGUCUCUGGGCCUGGGGAAGGCUUACCAGCUCAGCUCAUCUACUGUCUGGUGGCAAACAUGUCCUGGGUACUGCCACUACCCAGGACACUCUUCCUCACUCUGUCCCUGUCCAGUUACCGCACCCUUCCCUGUCUGACCCCGCCUCCUGUGCCCACUCGCCUCUGGACCCAGAGAUUCUUCUUGUUUGCUCUAUCAUCCUUGAGCCGGAUACAGGGUGAAUAGUUAACCACACUUGGGUUGAAUGGGAUCUUGAUUCUUAUUUCUGUUCCUUGGAAAGAGGGGUCAGACUCGGUGCGUGGCACCCGGCCUGGAAGCAGCACAAGACUCCAGAGUGAUACAUGAUCUGCCUGGAUGGUCCCAGGGGCUCUUUGGAGGUCAGAGCAAGAGGAGCAGCCUGAGCAGGGGGGCUGAGGAGGGCCGGCACUGGAUCACACGCAGGCGUAUGUCUGGAUAGGCAGAGAGGAACCCACUUUUCAUUCCCUCUUCUGUGACACAAAUGCAAGGAACUUUGAAGACACUCUUCGGAGGUUGCAAUCGGAGAUCAGCUUAUCCAAGGGCUUCAUGUCUGAGCUCUGUUGGUCGUGCCUCCUGAGGACCUCUUUCCUCUACUGUAUGCUGAUGACACACCCAUCCGAUGGGAGCUGGAGCCUUGUCUGGUCCUUUCCUCUAUGACCCCACGUGUACAGUUGGAAAUCCUUCCUAAUCAUGCCUUGAUUCCCCCUUUUCGACUACACUCAAAGAUGUUUGAGCUGUUUUAUUUGCAAAAUGGAUGGACAGUUUGUUUAUAUAAAACAAUCCCAGCUUCCUUGUGCUCUAUCUGGUGUGUUUGUAUGGCUCUUCAGUGACUUUAAAGUGGAGCAUUGACCUUGGCCUCUUUGAUUCUCCAUGGUGGAAUAGAGAAGACCUCUUGAGGAUGCUUAAUGUUGCUGAGAUCUUAAGAAGGCUUGCAGACUUCCUCUUCCUCCCUCCUUCUCCCACCUCCUCCUUCCCUAAGCAGCCUCUGCAUUGUAUAAAUUCCUUUAUAUAAA
rnacentral:lncRNA from 1 species